AUUGAACGCUGGCGGCAGGCCUAACACAUGCAAGUCGAGCGGAUGAAGGGUGCUUGCUCCUGGAUUCAGCGGCGGACGGGUGAGUAAUGCCUAUGAAUCUGCCUGGUAGUGGGGGAUAACGUCCGGAAACGGGCGCUAAUACCGCAUACGUCCUGAGGGAGAAAGAGGGGGAUCUUCGGACCUUACGCUAUCAGAUGAGCCUAGGUCGGAUUAGCUAGUUGGUGGGGUAAAGGCCUACCAAGGCGACGAUCCGUACCUGGUCUGAGAGGAUGAUCAGUCACACUGGAACUGAGACACGGUCCAGACUCCUACGGGAGGCAGCAGUGGGGAAUAUUGGACAAUGGGCGAAAGCCUGAUCCAGCCAUGCCGCGUGUGUGAAGAAGGUCUUCGGAUUGUAAAGCACUUUAAGUUGGGAGGAAGGGCAGUAAGUUAAUACCUUGCUGUUUUGACGGUACCAACAGAAUAAGCACCGGCUAACUUCGUG
rnacentral:rRNA from 1 species